CCAUUGGAUAUACUCUGGGCUUUCUGGGCCUGGUGAAAUUCCACUGUCUCUCCCCUCUGGAGAGUGUCUCGCCUGAGGGCCUGGCUUUCCCUCCUCACCCCAACACAGAGAAGAGAAGAAGCAUGACCCUCCUGGUGCCAUCUUCCUUCCCGCUGACUGGAGGGCAGAUGUGAUCGUGUGUGCUGCACCAGCCACCUUGAGCCAUGUGGAGGAAGCCACCUGUUGGGCACAGAGGAGUAAAAUGAGAGAAGCACCCUGACUCCUUGUUGUCAUGGGAUCCCCAGGUCAGCCCUGAGCUGUCUCCUUCUGAACUGAAAGACUAAAUGCAAUUGUGAAUUCCUUGAAGACGAGCAGUGUUCCUUCCUUCCUUGGGAGUUGUCACGCACCUAUCACAGGACUGAGACCAUGGGAAGCAUGAGAACAGGAACUGCAAUCCUAAUGAUGGCCCUCCCUUUCUCUGGUGCCACUGGAUAAGGAGAAGAUCUCAGCAGCAUCCACUGGCCCUAGUCUUCAUGUCUGGGGUAAACCAGGGUGGCCUUGCCUCUGCCACAUCAGCUGUGCCAUCCUGGGCAAGCAGCAUCCUCCGGGCCAAGCUCCCCAGCUGCAAAGUGGUAGGCUUGUCUGUCCUGCCUGUCAUCUGGGGGUGCUGGAAAAUUCUACAUGACCAUGUGCAUAAAAGAGCCUUCUAACCUGGAUCAGGAGGAAGGGAUGCGGUCAGCAUAGUGAUUGCAUGCCUGCCGUGUGCAUAUCCUUCUGUGCUGUUCUUUGAAAAUAUGUUGUAAUCUACCCAAAUUACAAGCACAUAUAAACAUUGGUCCUUUGAUUCCCUAA